AGGAGUGUAGAUCAAAUGGAAGAUCAGCGGUCUCCAAAACCGAAAGCCCUUAUAAGGUAAUUAUGCAGGUUCGAUCCCUGCGGCUCCUGCCA
rnacentral:tRNA from 1 species